AGUAAAGUAUCUGGCCCUCAGGCUCAGGGCCAGUAAUGGGUGAGGAGUCAAGAGAGGAGAAGAGUUGAAAGGGCUCGAGAGAAAGAGCGCUUCUCUUCUUUUCUCUUAUCCUUCCCUUCUUUUCUUUUCCUUGUUUUCCAUGCAAUCUUGCUACUCCUCUUCGUCCUCAUUCAAUUCCAAUUCAAUUCAAUUCAAUUCAAUUCCAAUUCAAUUCCAAUUCCAAUUCUCUUUUAUAACGCGGAUUUGAUUUGAUUUGAUUUGAUUUGAGCUCGAGAUUUACUUUGAAUUCCUCCAAAGUAUGUUGAUUUAAUCACUCACAGCACAGCAAGACCACCUUGAAGUUGAAGAAGAAAGCCAAGCCCUGGGCAUUAUAUAUAUAUAUAUAUAUAUAUGUUAUGAUGCUGGUCAACAUUAUCGUUGGAAAGAGAAGCAAAGAGAUCCCUGCCUCACUUUUCUUUAUAUUAUUGAUCGACAUGCCAUACCCGGGGCCGGGGAAUGGGAUCUAACACCAGCUUCGUAGAAUUCCCCCCCGUCCAUCAGGAGAUGAAUGCCGACCAGUGCCCCCCGGCGAAGAAGCCCGGUCCUGUCUCCAUGGACCACGUUCUUCUCGCCCUUCGGGAGACUAGAGAGCAACGUGAGUCCCGCAUCCGUGGUCUUUUCAACUUCUUCGACUCCGCCGGAUUGGGCUACCUUGAUUACGCCCAGAUCGAGGCCGGCCUCUCCACCAUGCGCAUCCCCGCCGAGUACAGGUAUGCCCGGGACCUCCUUAAGGUAUGCGAUGCCAAUCGGGAUGGUCGUGUUGACUACCUCGAGUUCCGACGCUACAUGGACGAGAAGGAGCUCGACCUCUACCGCAUCUUCGAGGCCAUUGACGUCGAGCACAACGGCUGCAUCCUGCCGGAGGAGCUCUUGGAGGCUCUCGCCAAAGCGGGAAUUGAAAUUGGAGAUGAGGAGCUAGCUCAUUUUGUUGAGCAUGUGGAUAAGGACAACAAUGGGAUCAUAACUUUUGAAGAAUGGAGAGACUUUCUGCUUCUAGACCCUCAUGAAGCAACCAUUGAAAACAUUUACCAUUAUUGGGAAAGAGUCUGCCUUGUAGAUAUUGGUGAACAGGCUGUUAUACCUCAAGGGAUUAGUAAGCAUGUAAAUGCAAGCAAAUACUUGAUUGCUGGAGGUGUAGCUGGAGCAAUUUCUCGCACAGCUACUGCUCCUCUUGACCGUCUCAAGGUGGUUAUGCAAGUUCAGACCACACGGGCCCAACUUGUGCCAGCCAUAAAAGACAUAUGGAGGGACAGUCGAUUCUUGGGAUUUUUCCGUGGGAAUGGACUGAAUGUGAUGAAGGUUGCACCUGAAAGUGCAAUUAGAUUCUAUACUUAUGAAAUGCUGAAAGAUUUUAUAGUCAGUGUUAGAGGUGAAGAUAAGAGUGACAUUGGCACAUCAGGACGCCUUAUUGCUGGUGGUUUGGCAGGUGCUGUGGCACAGACAGUAAUAUAUCCUUUGGAUCUUGUGAAAACCCGGCUGCAGACUUACGUCUGUGAGGCUGGAAAAGUUCCAAAGAUUGGAAAACUGUCCAAAGAUAUUUGGAUCCAAGAAGGGCCUCGAGCCUUCUAUAGAGGUCUCAUUCCCUCUGUCAUUGGUAUGAUUCCUUAUGCAGGUAUUGAUCUUGCAGCAUACGAGACCUUGAAAGAUAUUUCUAGAACAUAUCUUCUAAAUGAUAAUGAACCUGGUCCUCUCGUGCAACUUGGUUGCGGAACUGUUUCAGGAGCUCUUGGAGCAACAUGUGUUUAUCCCUUGCAAGUGAUUAGAACAAGAAUGCAAGCUCAGCGCACCAACUCAUCUGCUGCUUAUAAAGGGAUGUCUGAUGUAUUUUGGAGAACUCUUCAUCACGAAGGUUUUACAGGAUUCUACAAGGGAAUUUUACCAAAUCUGCUCAAAGUGGUGCCAUCAGCAAGCAUCACUUACCUUGUUUAUGAAUCCAUGAAAAAGAAUCUUUCUCUUGAUUAAAGACUGUUAAGCUUUUGCUUGAUGGCCAUCACUGCUGAUUGACUGACUAAUUGAGCUUAUUCAGGUGGAGACUGGGGAACAGUUUUGAUAAUUGAGUAGGUGUAAUGGUAGCAAAGACAUGGCCAAGCUUAUUUCUGCAGGAUACAAAUUCAUGGUGCUGCUUGUAGUCUGCAUGAUAUUGCAUCUAACAUGGUCAAAUAGCAGAUUCUUUUCUAUGUCUAAUUCAAAUGAGCAGGCUAACACUUGCAUAAAUCCUUGUGAAUGUUGUGCUAUUAUUUACUUAUUUUAGCCUCUAGCUAGUACUAUAAUUUUGUUCUGAGCCACACUUGAUUAUUGAAUGUUUUUACUCAUAUAUACC